rnacentral:piRNA from 1 species
UGGAAGAAGAAGCUGUUGGGGCUUUGAGA